rnacentral:rRNA from 1 species
CCGCGGUAAUACGUAGGGUCCAAGCGUUAAUCGGAAUUACUGGGCGUAAAGCGUGCGCAGGCGGUUGUGCAAGACCGAUGUGAAAUCCCCGAGCUUAACUUGGGAAUUGCAUUGGUGACUGCACGGCUAGAGUGUGUCAGAGGGGGGGUAGAAUUUCCACGUGUAGCAGUGAAAUGCGUAGAGAUGUGGAGGAAAUACCGAUGGCGAAGGCAGCCCCCCUGGGAUAACACUGACGCUCAUGCACGAAAAGCGUGGGGAGCAAACAGGAUUAGAUACCCUGGUAGUCCACGCCCUAAACGAUGUC